AUUGAACGCUGGCGGCAUGCUUUACACAUGCAAGUCGAACGGCAGCGCGGGCUUCGGCCUGGCGGCGAGUGGCGAACGGGUGAGUAAUACAUCGGAACGUGCCCAGUAGUGGGGGAAAGCUCGGCGAAAGCCGGAUUAAUACCGCAUACGACCUGAGGGUGAAAGCGGGGGAUCUUCGGACCUCGCGCUAUUGGAGCGGCCGAUGGCAGAUUAGCUAGUUGGUGGGGUAAAGGCCUACCAAGGCGACGAUCUGUAGCUGGUCUGAGAGGACGACCAGCCAACACUGGAAUGGGGAAAGGCCCAGACUCCUACGGGAGGCAGCAGUGGGGAAUUUUGGACAAUGGGCGAAAGCCUGAUCCAGCAAUGCCGCGUGUGUGAUGAAGGCCUUCGGGUUGUAAAGCACUUUUGGCGGGAACGAAAAGGACUGUGCCAAUACCACGGUUCGAUGACGGUACCCGCAGAAUAAGCACCGGCUAACUACGUG
rnacentral:rRNA from 1 species